CCCUAGUAACGGCGAGUGAAGCGGCAACAGCUCAAAUUUGAAAUCUGGCGCAAGCCCGAGUUGUAAUUUGUAGAGGAUGCUUCUAGGUAGCGACCGGUCUAAGUUCCUUGGAACAGGACGUCAUAGAGGGUGAGAAUCCCGUAUGUGACUGGCCCGCACCUUCUACGUAGCUCCUUCGACGAGUCGAGUUGUUUGGGAAUGCAGCUCUAAAUGGGAGGUAAAUUUCUUCUAAAGCUAAAUACCGGCCAGAGACCGAUAGCGCACAAGUAGAGUGAUCGAAAGAUGAAAAGCACUUUGGAAAGAGAGUUAAAAAGCACGUGAAAUUGUUGAAAGGGAAGCGCUCACAACCAGACUUCUAGGCAGUGUUCCGCCGGUCUUUUGACCGGUCUACUCUCUGUCUCGAGGCCAACAUCAUCUGGGACCGCUGGAUAAGACCUUAGGAAUGUAGCUCCCCUCGGGGAGUGUUAUAGCCUCUGGUGAUGCAGCGAGUCUCGGGUGAGGUCCGCGCUUCGGCAAGGAUGUUGGCGUAAUGGUUGUCAGCGGCCCGUCUUGAAACACGGACCAAGGAGUCUAACAUCUAUGCGAGUGUUCGGGUGUCAAACCCCUACGCGUAAUGAAAGUGAACGGAGGUGGGAAGCGUAAGCUGCACCAUCGACCGAUCCUGAUGUCCUCGGAUGGAUUUGAGUAAGAGCAUAGCUGUUGGGACCCGAAAGAUGGUGAACUAUGCCUGAAUAGGGUGAAGCCAGAGGAAACUCUGGUGGAGGCUCGCAGCGGUUCUGACGUGCAAAUCGAUCGUCAAAUUUGGGU
rnacentral:rRNA from 1 species